rnacentral:rRNA from 1 species
AUUGAACGCUGGCGGCAGGCCUAACACAUGCAAGUCGAACGGUAACAGAAAGCAGCUUGCUGCUUUGCUGACGAGUGGCGGACGGGUGAGUAAUGUCUGGGAAACUGCCUGAUGGAGGGGGAUAACUACUGGAAACGGUAGCUAAUACCGCAUAACGUCGCAAGACCAAAGAGGGGGACCUUCGGGCCUCUUGCCAUCGGAUGAGCCCAGAUGGGAUUAGCUAGUAGGUGGGGUAAAGGCUCACCUAGGCGACGAUCCCUAGCUGGUCUGAGAGGAUGACCAGCAACACUGGAACUGAGACACGGUCCAGACUCCUACGGGAGGCAGCAGUGGGGAAUAUUGCACAAUGGGCGCAAGCCUGAUGCAGCCAUGCCGCGUGUAUGAAGAAGGCCUUCGGGUUGUAAAGUACUUUCAGCGGGGAGGAAGGGAGUAAAGUUAAUACCUUUGCUCAUUGACGUUACCCGCAGAAGAAGCACCGGCUAACUCCGUG